GACGAACGCUGGCGGCGUGCUUAACACAUGCAAGUCGAACGGAAAGGCCCUGCUUUUGUGGGGUGCUCGAGUGGCGAACGGGUGAGUAACACGUGAGUAACCUGCCCUUGACUUUGGGAUAACUUCAGGAAACUGGGGCUAAUACCGGAUAGGAGCUCCUGCUGCAUGGUGGGGGUUGGAAAGUUUCGGCGGUUGGGGAUGGACUCGCGGCUUAUCAGCUUGUUGGUGGGGUAGUGGCUUACCAAGGCUUUGACGGGUAGCCGGCCUGGGAGGGGGACCGGCCACAUUGGGACUGGAAUGCGGCACAGACUCCUACGGGAGGCAACAGUGGGGAGUAUUGCACAAUGGGCGGAAGCCUGAUGCAGCAACGCCGCGUGCGGGAUGACGGCCUGCGGGUUGUAAACCGCCUUCGCCUGUGACGAAGCGUGAGUGACGGUAAUGGGUAAAGAAGCACCGGCUAACUACGUG
rnacentral:rRNA from 1 species